AACGAACGCUGGCGGCAUGCCUAACACAUGCAAGUCGAACGAGACCUUCGGGUCUAGUGGCGCACGGGUGCGUAACGCGUGGGAACCUGCCCUUAGGUUCGGAAUAACUCCCCGAAAGGGGUGCUAAUACCGGAUAAUGUCUUCGGACCAAAGAUUUAUCGCCUUUGGAUGGGCCCGCGUUGGAUUAGCUAGUUGGUAGGGUAAAAUCCUACCAAGGCGACGAUCCAUAGCUGGUCUGAGAGGAUGAUCAGCCACACUGGGACUGAGACACGGCCCAGACUCCUACGGGAGGCAGCAGUGGGGAAUAUUGGAAAAUGGGAGAAAGCCUGAUCCAGCAAUGCCGCGUGAGUGAUGAAAGCCUUAGGGUUGUAAAGCUCUUUUACCCGGGAUGAUAAUGACAGUACCGGGAGAAUAAGCUCCGGCUAACUCCGUG
rnacentral:rRNA from 1 species